rnacentral:misc_RNA from 1 species
ACGAAUUAAACGAACGUCUUCGGUUGAGCUGGCCUUCGGGCAUGUGCCCGCCGAAGUGCGCUUUUCCAAAUUCCAACACCUGUGCACCUUUGUAGUUCUAUGGUCUGGGAGGUCUCACGGCCUUCCUCCCGUGGUUCUGCGUUUUUACACAUACGCCGUAGCAAAGUCUUGUGGAAUGUGUGCCGCGUUUAACGCAAUAAAAUA